GAUGAACGCUGGCGGCGUGCUUAACACAUGCAAGUCGAACGGAAAGGGCUUGCUCCUGUGGGGUGCUCGAGUGGAAAGCGUGUGAGCAUCCCGUUAGUAAGCUGCCAUCGACUUUGGGCUACUUCUAGGACACUGUGGCCAAUACAGCAUAAGAGCUCAUCCUGCUUGGUGGGGGCUGGAAUCUGUCGGGCGUUGGGGUUGGACACUCGGUUUAUGAGGCUGUUGGUGGGGUCUUGGCCUACCAAGGCGUUGACGGGAAGCCGGCUGGAGCAGGUGACCGGCCACAUUGGGGCUGAGAUGCGGCCCAGACUCCUACGGGAGGCAGCAGUGGUGAAUAUUGCACAAUGAGCGGAAGCCUGAUGCAGCAACGCCGCGUGCGGGAUGACGGCCUUCGGGUUGUAAACCGCUUUCGCCUGUGACGAAGCGUGAGUGACGGUAAUGGGUAAAGAAGCACCGGCUAACUACGUG
rnacentral:rRNA from 1 species